CAGAGUAUCAAUUGGAGGGCAAGUCUGGUGCCAGCAGCCGCGGUAAUUCCAGCUCCAAUAGCGUAUAUUAAAGUUGUUGCAGUUAAGAAGCUCGUAGUUGAAUUUCUGCCUUAUCAUUAAUUUCGCUUCCGAACGUAAUUUUAUUGAUUUGGCAUCUUCUGGAUUUAUAUUUUUAUUAAUAUUUUUCCAGUAUUUACUUUGAGAAAACUAGAGUGUUUCAAACAGGCUAUUGCCUUGAAUACUACAGCAUGGAAUAAGGAAGUAGGACUUUGGUUCUAUUUUGUUGGUUAUCGAACCAUAGUAAUGGUUAAUAGGAGCAGUUGGGGGCAUUCGUAUUUAACUGUCAGAGGUGAAAUUCUUAGAUUUGUUAAAGACGAACUACUGCGAAAGCAUUUGCCAAGGAUGUUUUCAUUAAUCAAGAACGAAAGUA
rnacentral:rRNA from 1 species